GGAGGUGCUGCUUCCUAAUAAUAGCUCUGCAAAGCAGGCAUUAUUGUCUGUUUCAUAGUGCAAGCAGCAAAGGAGUAGAGAGACUCAAUGCUGUCCUGCACAGAGCCACAUGGAUAGUAAGUGAAGGAACCCUGUUCUUUCUACCACGUCGCCUGGCCCGAGUUUGCUUCAGACCCAGGUGUGGAGAGAUCCAUGGAGCCAGGACACAAUGGUCCCCACCUUGGUGCAACCCGUCCUCUCAGCUUGCUUAGCUGGUCUUGGCUUCUGGGAUCGACUGAAAGUAUUGUACCAUCUGCAAAAUCAAAUGGGCACAGCUAGGAUUUGAGUGUUUUCAGUGAGUGCCCCAUUGUAAUGGAGUUAGGGAAGCAGCUGAUCUAUCUCAUCCAUCACGUCAACUUAGAUUUUCAUCACAUUUUUGCUUGGAUGAGCAGAGAGGUCAGAUAUCUUCUUUAAAACGUAAUGCCUGGGGACUGGGGAGGUAGCUCAGUGGCAUCACGCCUACCUGGAAAGCGCAAGGUCCUGAGUUUGAUUACCACUAAAAAACAAAAACAAAAACAAAAAACAAUGCCUGUUUAGACUUCAAAUGAAUUUUUGGGCCUCUCCUCAUGACUUGUUUUUAGAGCCACUGGUAUGGAAAAAGUGAGGAGAACCAUUCACUUCAUUGCCUCCAGAAAGAAAAUUUCCAUCACAGCAUUGUCAGCCUCUCCUCUUUCCCACAUGGUCCCAUUUCCCCUGGGAAUGAUCUUGCCCAUACCAUCUUCGUACUGGCGAUGGGCAGUUGGAUGCUGGCUUUUAUGGGACAACUGGGCAUCUGGCAGGAACCCGGAAGUCACUGUUCCCCUCUGCGACUUCAGUCAGCUGCUGGAGGACAAGAAUUUAUUUUAUAGCCAAGUUCGGAGCCUGCCUUUUUCUAAUCCUUCAAGUAUGGAUGCAGUUUCUUCACAGUGUCAUCCAUACCUGGAUAACUAAGGACUGUAAGUAAUUAUAAUCAAUCAUUUCAUUUCAGCAUCUAAAAAAUAUGAUAUCAUUUAUUGUGGAUGCUCAUAUUCAGAUACGCGGUUAAAAACUGCCUUUUGGGCUUUACAUGUUAGUGUGAAAAAACCCCGCAUGGUAACCCUCAACAAGAGUCUAAGGCUUUACCUGUAGCGUGGUCGACUGUGUGACAGACAGAAAAGCUCAGAAAGGUGAAUACACAGUAUUAUGAGCAGCUUUCCCGUCCAUGCCUGCAGAAGUGUACUUUCAUUACACACACGUGGAAUGUGAUCAAACAAUCGGGUGGAUGUUUAAUUUUUAGAAAUGUGUUACAGUAAAGGAGACAUUACCAUUAAUCUCUCUCGAAAGACCACUCCUCCCUGUUUCAAGCUCACUUAUUCCACCAUCCUUGCCACUUUUGGAAGCAACUCUGGAGUCCUCUUUCAUGAAUGUCUUUAGUUGUGUCAUUGAGGGUGCCUCCAUGUCCUUAAUCGAUUCAAAAUGCUGAGGUUUUAGGGUCAUUUUGACUUUGGGAAAGAGCCAGAGGUCACAUAGUGCCAGAUUUGGUGAAUAACAUGAACGAGGACACACCUGUAAUGUUAUUCGACGGGAAUCGCCGUUAACAUUUUUAAAUGAUUCACGACAUUGAGGCAGCCACGAAAAGACGCUCACGAAAGAGGACUUCCAGAGCUGCUUCAGAAAGUGCCAAAAAUGAUGUGAUAAAUGUGUUUGGAGCAAUGGGAGUAUAUUGAGGAGGACUAGUGGUAAUGUCUUUUGCUGUAAUAAAUUUUUAAAAAUUUGAAUAUUUAUUGUUGUUUGAUCCCACCCUUAAGGUAUAGGGUUAGAUGGACACACAUAAAUGGGUGAAUGAUGCCCCAGAGUGAGAUUUGACAAUGGCCCUGACACACUGAGAUCUGGCAGUGCCUGGCAGCCUCCCAGGGUGGUUGUCUAUGCCACUAAGAAGAUUAUGGCCUGGGCAUAAUUUCAUCCCCUGAAAUAUUUUCAUCAUCCAGAAGAGGGAAAUUAUUUUUACUGUUUCUGUUUUCUAAAAUUGAAAAAUUCUCAGGCACAAAUCCCAAAAGACUUCUUGGGCAGUGUCUGUGUCCUAUUCAGGAUUGUGAGCCAAGGAGACAGAAAUGUCAUAUUUAGUGGUCACUGGACCAUCGAGGCCAGGAACUUCCCCUGGGCAGCGGUCUCUGCCUAUGUUACAGAAGACGGCAAAAAUAUAAGCCACUGUGCAGCUGACCAAUUAUGCACUGCUCUAUCCACAGGGGGAAAUUCCUUCCUCACUUCUGCUGGUGAACAGUUAUGCCCCGGAGCCCAGGACAGACAUGCCUUGUAACUUUUUAACCUAGUUAGUGUAACUGCCAAUAUUAUUCCUAUUCAUAUAAAUGUCUAAUCCUUUCUUGAAUCUUGCUAGACUAUUUGCCUCAAUAACAUCCCGCGGCUAUGAAUUCCACAGGUAGAUUACAUGCUGCUUGAAAAGGCAUUUCCUUUCAGUCAUUUUAAAUUUGUUGCCUUUUAGCGUCACAAGAUGGCUCUUGGUUUUGCAUAAAGUGACACAGGAUAAAGGUAUUGCAAAUUGAGCUCUGAUUCUUCCAAGCACUUUCUUCACGAUUAUCAAUCCUUUUGUUCUGUGUAUGUUUUCUAUUUUGCUAUUGUUAUUCUGAUUAAAUGAGAUGAUUAUAAUAAGUGGAUUCACACUAUUUUGAACACCUAGGAGGUGCUAGAAACCAAGAUCUCCUUGCUGUCCUGUGACAUUUAUUGGACAAAUAUUUACCAAGUACUUAUUUGUGUAGAAAUUAUCUUAAUUUUGAGGGACACCCUUGAAUAAGGCUGAGUCCUUGUUUGGAAGGACCUAAUUUUCUUGAAAGGGAGACAAGCAGUAAAAUCAAGAAAAAAUAUUUGAACUAUGUGGUUUCUGGUGGUUUUCAGUGCCAUCAGCUCCAUUCAUCUGUAGGCUCCACACCUUCAGAUUCAAUCAGACUUUGCUUGGAUUGUUCUAUCAACAAGACAGUGGAAUAAUUAUUUUUGUGUAAUAUACAUUCCAAUAGGUAUUACAAGUCACCCGGAGAUGAUUUUAAAUACUUAGGAGGGUGUGCAUUGGUUAUGUGCAUAAUCUGUCCUUUUAUCUAAGGAGCUUGAACUCCAUGAAAAAGAGCGAUUCAUCCUGGAAUCAACUUCCUGUGGAUAUUGAGGGGCGACUACAUUAUGGGAAAAUUAAGAGUGACUGGAAGAAGAUUCUGGGGCUCCUUUAGCUCCCAUGGUCAGGGAGUGGCUGUCUGCAAAGAGAGCCACCAGUGUGAAAUCUCCCUACAGGUGAGCUCCAGUCCAGGUUUCAGAACAGUGCCCAGCAGUAGUUCAGGCUCAGUCUUCAUUUGUGAAUGCAUGAAUGCGUCAAAGUUGAGAAGGGAAGGCUUAGGGACAGAAAUCACCUGGGAAGUGACUCAGUAGAUCCAGGAGGAACAUUUCUUGCAUGCCUGUUGUAACUCUAGAGAUGGUUGGAGUAGAAAAAAGCAGGGGAUUGGGGCCAGGGAUUUAGCUCAGUGGUUUCGCCACCUGCUGCGCAAGCUCAAGGACCCGAGUUCAAUCCCUGGUACCAAAAAAAAAAAGGAGGGGAUUGAGCUAGUGAGACUCUGGUUUCAAGAACUGAACAUGUUUCCAACUAACCAGCCAUGUGACCUUGGGAAAGUCACCUAAUUGCUUUCAUCUAGCACAUUCUCUUUUAUAGAAAUGGGUGUACAGCUCCCUUCUCAGAUGGGGGUUGGAGGGUUGGAGGUAAUGUUAUGCGGAAGUUUUUUUUACACUGCUGAAUGGUGUAGAGAUGUUGGUUAUUCUUGCAAAAAUCAAUUGCUCUCAGCACUUGUCCCUCCAGUCUUUCAUUCUUUCCUUUCUCCCUUGUUUUCUCAGAUUCCUAUUCUAUCUUUGCCUCUGCCGAAAGCCCGCCCGUGUCCUCUGUGGUACUCAUCUUUCUGCCCCAGAGUUGUCUUAAGCGGGGUGAAUUCAUCCUCCCCAAAUUCUUGUCUGUUUCUUAAGAACUCUAAAAAUGCAACCGGAUGGACUACUGCUUGUUGAUACAGUGAACUGGAUGUGAAUUUCAAAUAGUGAUUGUUUGCUUCGAUUUUGUUUACUCCUUAAUCUUCUGGGGUCAGGUUAACCAAGCUUCUCUCUAUCAAAGACAAACUCCUUGCUUGAAGUUUUGAGGAAUCUUCCCCAGAAACCACAACUGUGGUGGCAGGGACCACAUCCCCUGCAUGGAACGUCCCUGGAUGUUGCGGCAUGGCAGGCACCAACCAUUUCCUCACAGUGCCUCUUGUUCUUUUCAAUUGCCUCUUCGUGUACUUUUUCUUUCCAUUUAGGCAAUUUGAAGUAGAAGCAUGCGCCACUCUGCAUAAUAAUGUAUUAUAAAGGCAUUUCAAGGAAUGAGUUAUUAGAAUUGUUUACAUGCAUGGUUCAAAUUUACUGGCAAAUUGCUAGGGCCUCGGUUUUAUGAUGGAGCUGCCAGCCAGGCUCCUUCUGGAUAAAACUCUGAAACAGGAGAAGUUGCCCUUUGCUAUGGCUCACCAGCACUCUCUCUGCCCUGUUCCUGCCUUUUCAGCACCUCCCUCCUUGCCCGCCCCCAAAUACCUCUGUGCGGCUCUCAGGCCUUUUGGACCUUCGUGGGAAGAUACUCUGUGGGUCCUUCCCAGGCCCAUCCCCAUCAAAGGAGCCAGUUGCCCAGCACGGGCCCAGGACGUGAAACCCUGGUGCACACCCUGCCAGCGUCUCCACCUGACACAGCUUGGACAUCUUCCUGCAGAGGAGGCCUUGCUCCCGUCCAAUCCAGGAACUUUCAGAUGUGAUCUCUACUCACUUUCCAACAAAGUAAAACACUGUCACAUCUGACAGUUUCAAUGGAGCUGUUUCAGCUCCUGAGUGCUUUCCGGAAGAAGUAAAGUUGGGUGCCCUACCUUAAGGAGCUUUUCUAGACAGCAGAGAGGCACUUUUCCUGCACCUGGUUACCACACUGUAUCCUUCAAAACUUCUUGUGGACAAGCUGAUGAAUUAUCCAGAACUGCUAAAAAUCAGUGUAAACCCACUCUUGCUACUUCCUUCUGGCAUUGCGAAGGCAGAACCCCAAAGGGGAAUGUCUGAAACUGAACUCGAAAAACUUCUGCACAAUGAAAAGCACCUUACGCGACUGGCAUCAGUUUGUUUUCUUGAGUGAUCUUGAUGUAUGAAUGACUUUGAUUAAGGCAAGGGAAGAAUAAACAUAGAUUCUGUCUAUUAAAGGAGAAAAGCAGGGUGGAUUUGUAAAUAAUCUUAAAAGAAAACAAGAACUGUUUGCCACAGAAUGCACAACACGGCUUAAUCAGGAGAUGAGAAUGUGGAUGGACUCUGGUCCACAAAACACAAGGAGAAGGCAACUGGCAAUGAUCUUCUUGUAGCAGGAAUUCCAGUCAAUGGGAUCUCCAAACACAGCCCCAGUUGGGGAGGGUGCUGAGGGUGCCCCGACCUUUCCCUGCGUGGGAGUGGACACGUCCUACAUCUGCUUCGCAUGGUAACCGGCGCCUGUGAGCCUUCUGUAGGCUGUUAAUGUAUUUCAGAAGGAGAGCCCAGUCUAAUGUUUAGAGGAAGUUCUCAAGGCCUUCUACUGGAAAGUUACUCAUUAAACACCCUUUUCUUUUUUCUUUUUUUCUAGUGCUAGUUCCUGUUUAUUUAAUCACAUCGAUGAUCUGUAUUUUUAAAAUUUUUAUCUUAGUUGUGCUAGAGAUUUAGAAGUUUUACUGUUUUUUAAUAGAUAAAAAACCUUCUAUUUCUAAAAUGUGGCUUAAUCACACCCACAGUGUGCUAAACUGGUUUUGGAAUCGAUCCUGCCACAUGGAGGAAUCAAAAGAUUAUCAACGAGAAGCAUAACAUCCAUGCAGCAGCUCACCAGGGCCUGGAGUGUCCUUUUCUCAGAAGACUACCUUCAAAGUUGGGCCAUUCAGUGAGGCUUCUACCAUCUCUCUCAUGCACCACAAAAAAUGAGUGUGACCUUUAUUCUUUGGACAACAAUAGUAAUUUGAACAGGGUAGGAGACACAGAAAGCAGCUGUUGAGGUGUGUGGUGAGAGUUGGACAGAAGGAAGAUUUUUUCUUCCCGAACCCCAGAAAGGUGGAUGGAAGAGUUCCUUCUAAUUAGGGAAGAUUCUGGGUGUGGCUGAAUGGAUUUACUGAAGACAGAAGACGCACCCUGGGUAUGGGUGGCACCACCCAAAAGGCUUGUAUUUUGCAUGGGAUAAAAGGGAAAAGAAGGCUGUUGCUUGCUGUUGCUGCUUCUUGCCUGUCACACCAUGAACUCUUUCUCCUCCACCAUGGACUUUGCCAUUUUGCUUUGCCUUGGAAGGAGCAAACUAUGGACUAAAACCUCUACAAACUGGGUGUUGAAAUAAACCUUUUUUCCUUCAACUCUGGGUGUUAGAUAUCUUGUCUCAGCAAUGAGAAAAGUAACUAAGACAAUUGCCCAGAGCAGAGUCAUCAUAUCCAAAUCCGUAAACUUGGCUAGGAACACAUAAUCAUCUGAAAUGUACUGAGCACUUAGCAUUUGCCUGGUGUUGUGUUAGACCUCAGAUGUACUGGUCCGAACCAUCGAUGCCCCUGAUCUCUUACAUUCUAGCAAAUACAGCUGUCUCUCUGGACCUCUUAGAGAUAGCACAAACUCAGCAAGUAAAAACCCAAAUGGAUUAUAUUCUCCUGACAAGCCCCUCCCCAACCUCUAUCUCCUCCCGAAUUGUCUGUUUUGGCAAAGUAUGCCACCAUCUACCCAGUGAUGGAGGGUCCACUACAGGAGCCCCUUCAUAAAGUAAAUCACAAGUUCUGUCACAGCUGGCUGCUCAUCACUUGACUCUCCAUUGUUCUCUCCAUUGGCCUCAGCUUUCAAUCCCAGUAAUUUUUCUUUUUGGCCUGGAAUAUUGUGACCGCAUCCAGUAUUACUUUCUUAACCAAUCUAUCCCCUGUACCGAUGCCAGGAUGAUAUUUUAGACAUUAAAAUGCUUGGAGGAUUAUGUCAAUUCUCUGUAGAAAGCCCUUACUGAAAAUGUUCUACAAUUACCUUGGAGAUGAACCUCAAACUUUUUAACAUGGAUUACAAGAAAGGACCUUUGGUGAUGUGGUCUGGGCUUUACCCUACAAUGCCAAUUUUCGCCAUGGGUCUUGCCCUCUAGUUUCAAGUAUAUUAAAAAUGAUAUUAUAUUCUACAUACACCUUGUAUCAAUCUUUUAUACUUAACAAGCCAUUAAACAUAUCCUUAUUAUUGGUCCUAUUUAGCUUUAUGUGCCUGAAUAUGAAAUAAUUGUUUGUCAAGAAGGCAUUCCAUAUGUUACAAACCAGCUUAUAUAUUCUUUUUAAAUAUAAAACAUACACAACUGAGAAUAAUGUAUAAAUACAUCUAGUUAGCAUGCUUUGAUGUUUAAAUAAUUAGAUGAUGUGCUUAGUAAACAAAUAAGUUCAGUGUUUCAAUGAGGUGUGUAAAAAAUGUUUGGAAGGUGGGCUACUUUAGAGGGAUUUGGUAUAGUAGAGUAGAAGAGUCUCAUUCUACUGUACCAAAUAUACUGAGCUGUGGACACACAUGGAAGGUCUUUGGAGUCCCAUCCUUCUGUCUCGGGCUGCCCAUCAUCCUCUAAGCCCUCGACCACACAGGAAAGGAGACCCAGAUCUGUGCUUGGCAUAUUGAGGGUCUGAGGAGAGUUGGUACCAAGGGAAUUGGCUGGAAGAACUGAAUGGCUCAGAACAUGAGGACAAUCAAAGCCAGCAGUGGGAGAGGGAGUGGGAAAGAAUAGGAUGGGAAAUACCAGAAGGACUGUGAGCCUAAGAAAUGGGAGAGAGCUCGAUGGUGAGAUGAGUAGAGAAAAAUUGCCACUGGGUGCUGGAGUGGAACCCAGAAGAUGAAGAGGAUGGCAGUGACACUUGCAGCUAACGGACAACACUCCCAAUAAUGGCAACAGCAGCUCACAAUCUCACUUGCACAGCAUUUACUACAUGCCAAGCCAGGCCCUCCCAUCAUGUUACAUGUAUGAACCAUGUAAUCUUUGCCCACCCUAUCUGACCUACCUCCUGUCCAUGGCUGUUGAAAAGAUCAAAUGCAUCAAUAUUUUUAAAGUGCUUAUGUAGUGAUAUCUAAAUAUUUGUUGAAAGUCCUCUUUCACAGAGGCACAGAAUAGUCUUGCACCUUGCCUGAGGCCACACAGCUUCUAAGUGGCAGAAGUGGGUGAGAACCUGGUUAUCUGGCCCUGGAGCCGACACUUCCUCUGAGCUUUCUGCGGUGUACCGGGAUGGUGAUUCAGCUGCAGCUCCUCCUGUCCUGACUUCACCUGCAGAGCAGUGGGCAAGGUGUGUCUGCUUCUGCCUGCGAGGUGACCGUGUGAAAGGGAUGCUCCUGUAAGAGGUUUGGUGUGAUGUCAUUUAGCAAAAUAGAAACAAAAUGCAGGCUGAGCUUGCAGACCUGUCACUACAACCAGAGAAGGAUUUCAAACCUUCACACUCAGUGCAUUCAGGAUUGCUGGAUUAAGACUCAGAGGUAAGGCCCUUCCUUCCUUAUCUUCCUCCCGGGUCUUCUUUGCUUGCUUGUGUCCCUCAGCUCCUGAGCACCCAUCGCUGUCCGUACACCGUGACAACAAUUAUGAUGACAAUAAUGCUAAUGAUCAGAACAGAGCAGCGGGAAGUCUCUCCACGCACGGAAAUGAUAAUAUCUGAGAAGAUGGAGGUCCUGGCGACUUUGAGUCAAUCAUUCUACAUUGUACGUAUGCACUGGUUUGUAGCACUGUAACCCAUAAAUACCUAUACAUAUUAUGUCAAUUUAAAAAUAAAUUUAAUUUAAAAAUCA